rnacentral:rRNA from 1 species
AUUGAACGCUGGCGGCAUGCUUUACGCAUGCAAGUCGAACGGCAGCGCGGGGCAACCUGGCGGCGAGUGGCGAACGGGUGAGUAAUACAUCGGAACGUACCCAGAAGUGGGGGAUAACGUAGCGAAAGUUACGCUAAUACCGCAUACGUUCUACGGAAGAAAGUGGGGGACCUUCGGGCCUCAUGCUUUUGGAGCGGCCGAUGUCUGAUUAGCUAGUUGGUAGGGUAAAGGCCUACCAAGGCGACGAUCAGUAGCUGGUCUGAGAGGACGACCAGCAACACUGGGACUGAGACACGGCCCAGACUCCUACGGGAGGAAGCAGUGGGGAAUUUUGGACAAUGGGCGCAAGCCUGAUCCAGCAAUGCCGCGUGAGUGAAGAAGGCCUUCGGGUUGUAAAGCUCUUUUGUCAGGGAAGAAACGGUCGGGGUUAAUACCUCUGGCUAAUGACGGUACCUGAAGAAUAAGCACCGGCUAACUACGUGCCAGCCGCCGCCGUAAUAC